rnacentral:rRNA from 1 species
CAGUGGGGAAUAUUGGACAAUGGGCGAAAGCCUGAUCCAGCCAUGCCGCGUGUGUGAAGAAGGUCUUCGGAUUGUAAAGCACUUUAAGUUGGGAGGAAGGGCAGUAAGUUAAUACCUUGCUGUUUUGACGUUACCGACAGAAUAAGCACCGGCUAACUUCGUGCCAGCAGCCGCGGUAAUACGAAGGGUGCAAGCGUUAAUCGGAAUUACUGGGCGUAAAGCGCGCGUAGGUGGUUCGUUAAGUUGGAUGUGAAAGCCCCGGGCUCAACCUGGGAACUGCAUCCAAAACUGGCGAGCUAGAGUACGGUAGAGGGUGGUGGAAUUUCCUGUGUAGCGGUGAAAUGCGUAGAUAUAGGAAGGAACACCAGUGGCGAAGGCGACCACCUGGACUGAUACUGACACUGAGGUGCGAAAGCGUGGGGAGCAAACAGG